GAAACUGCCAUGAUGGAGAAGAGUACGUCUAUACGUUUUAAGAGAGGAAAACAAACGCUGAAAGUUUUCUAAACCACUGUAGACAGAAGGUAGCUCUAUUAGCAGCUUUUCUGAACUUGAUCCAGUAGGAAAAGCCGGACGCGGACCGUUAUAUCCGAACGAAGAGUACAGAAUAUAUCUGUAAAUUAAGGUGGUACCACGGAAAAGACCCUUUCGUCCUUAGC
rnacentral:ncRNA from 1 species